AGGGUUUGAUUCUGGCUCAGGAUGAACGCUGGCGGCGUGCCUAACACAUGCAAGUCGAGCGAUGAAACCGCCCUCGGGCGGACAUGAAGCGGCGAACGGGUGAGUAACACGUGACCGACCUGCCCCCCGCCCAGGGACAGCCCCCCGAAAGGGGGAUUAAUACCUGGUACUCCCGGGAAGGCGCAUGCCUUCCCGGGGAAAGCUUUCGCGGCGGGGGAUGGGGUCGCGGCCCAUCAGGUAGACGGCGGGGCAGAGGCCCACCGUGCCGACGACGGGUAGCCGGGUUGAGAGACCGACCGGCCACAUUGGGACUGAGAUACGGCCCAG
rnacentral:rRNA from 1 species